CUAAGACUCAGCAGAUAAGGAUGGAGGCAACUCAACAUCACACUGAGACAGAUAUGAGCCCUGCAUUUCUGAAUGCCUUGAAAGAAAGACCAGAAAGUUGGGAGGGCUGUGUCUCCUUAUCGUCUUCCAGGAAUCCAAAACCAUGAUUUCCAGUUUCCAAAUGCAACUCAAGCUCCACCACCCUGUACAUCUUGCACGGUUUCUCCAGCAUAUCCUGAUCACCCCCUCCAGACCCUUCUGAUAGAUUCAUUACCUGAAUCUGUUUAAUCCUGAGCUCCUGCUCUCCCUUGGCUCAGCCUCAUCACAGCCAGAAAGGAUGAGAGCUCUUUAACGAAGUGCAUACAUGUCAGUUUCCCAGGACACAAACCAAAGUA
rnacentral:lncRNA from 1 species